AUGUUUCCAGGCAGCAAAUGUGGACAAAUAUUAGCUCUUGGAAAUAAAGGGGGAAGUUAUUCAUUCACUCAGCAGCAUUUUCCAAGCCAUCAAUCUUCCGAGGAUUUCCAUUGCUUUAAUCAUCAAGGUUGUUUAUUUGGAGCAAUUUCUGAGAGAAUAAAAGUACCUUUGGCCUUUAUCUGCUGUCAUCAAAGCAUCCAUUAGGGGACUGGAGCCCUGUAGGGAGGCUCAAGGGAUUAUUCCGAGAGGUUUUCUGAAACGCACAGGAAUUCUGCUUUUUCUUCUCCCUGGUGCGGCAGUGAAGUUUAAACUGUAAUCUGAAAGGUUGAGUUUAUCGUCAGGUUUGUACCAUUUGAACAGGAUUUUGUUCAAGGCAAACCUACCGAUAAAAGCAUUUUAAGUGACCUGGAAAAAAGACCGGCCUGCCUGCCUGGAAAUUGUGUGGCCUCUGAGAGUCUCUGAGCCUUGGGUUUCUGACAAUAGCACGAUGGAGUCCCAGGCAGCCUGUACAGUAACAGGAUGUCAUCUUCUUGGGGAGGGUUGGGGGCAGAAGCAGGAAAGAAGCUGAGUGGUCCCUGCCCUGCCAGAAGGUGAAGCAUUACGCUGCUUGGUGAACUUGAAGUGGGAGGAGAAAGAAUUGAAAUUAUGUGGAGCCUGUGGGUAAAUGCAUCUGGGUGUACACACAUAUGCACAGACACUGCACACAGGCACACACAGCACACAU
ensembl:lincRNA